rnacentral:rRNA from 1 species
UAAUGCCGGAUAGGCAACUGGUAGGCAGUCUAACCGGUUGGGAAAGGUGCAACUGCACCGCAGAUGGAGGAGCCCGCGGCGCAUUAGCUAGUUGGUGGGGUAACGGCCCACCAAGGCGACGAUGCGUAGCCGACCUGAGAGGGUGACCGGCCACACUGGGACUGAGACACGGCCCCAGACUCCUACGGGAGGCAGCAGUAGGGAAUCUUCGGCAAUGGGCGAAAGCCUGACCGAGCAACGCCGCGUGAGCGAAGAAGGCCUUCGGGUUGUAAAGCUCAGUCACCCGGGAAGAGCGGGCAGGAGAGGGAAUGCUCCUGUCGAGACGGUACCGGGAGAGGAAGCCCCGGCUAACUACGUG